rnacentral:lncRNA from 1 species
AAAUGAACUGAAAAUUUAUUUUCAAUAUGAAAAAUGUAUUUCUGUUUGUUUGGUUCGAUGUAAAAAUAUUUUUCCAUAAAAGUAUUUUUAUUGAUUUGGAAAAAAAUUGAAAUUUUCGUUUUCUGUUGUUUUUCGACAGAAAACGAAAACUCAAGCGGUGUAAAAGAUUUUUCAUUUAUUUUUUUUCCACCAAACUAAACAACUGUAAAUUUUUUUUUCAACUAAACAAAUAUCGAUAAAAAAUUACUUUUUUUUCUACAAAACGUAAAAUUAUUUUUCAGCCAAAAAAAUUUUUCCAUUAAAAAAUCAUCUCUCAUGAUUUUAUGUUGAACUAAACAGAUCCCUGCGUAUGGAAACAAAGGAGGGAACAAGGGCUUAUUCUCUCCCUUGUUCCCGAACCAAACGCUACCUAAGUAGUUCCCAUUCAAUCCUUUUAAAAAAUUAAUCACCAACGAAA